UGGGAUGUCGCCAAGUCGGUAAGGCACUAGAUUCUGGUUCUAGCAUCCGCAGGUUCGAAUCCUGCCAUCUCAGCCA
rnacentral:tRNA from 1 species